rnacentral:lncRNA from 1 species
GUGGGGGAUCCAUAUGCUACACUCGUGAGGGAUCCUUCCAACAAAGCAGAGGGGGUCAAAUGCUUUAAAGCAAGUGAAAAUGAGAUGUUUAAAAUUGCUUCCUUAAAUGUUGAAUCCCAAUCUGACUUUGUUGCCUAGUUGAACUAAAGAUAAGAGGAGUUCAACAGACUUUUGAAUUCACUGGAGAGAAAAAGAUAAG